rnacentral:lncRNA from 13 species
AUGAGUAUGGGUGAAUCGUUUACAUCCCUACUAGAUAGCAGGUGUGUACAUCUGUGUGUGUGUGCGCAUUUGUCUCACUGGCAUAGUUGUUUAGGUCAAACUGCAACAGAGCGUUCUCCUUCUCCUUGGGUUUCUGUUUGGUCUCGUCCUUCCUGCGUCCAGCUUUGCCCCCUCCUCGCCUCUCUCCCUUCCCCCCUGCGUAGCCGCGACCUGGUUUGGGUCCGCUGUUCCCCCAGCGGUUCUGCCUCUCCAUCGGACGCUGACUGGAGAAACUCCUCCUGCCCCCGGCGGGCCCGGCUGCCUCGCGUUUGGGUGUCACCCCUCCCUCGGUGGGAGUCCUGCUGGGGGGUGCUGAGCCCUGAGGAGGUAGGGGGGCUGGUGUCGAGGUCUGGGCAGUGCCGCUAGCAACCUCCCGCGCUCCCCUCCUCUCCUCCCGUUCUCUACGCUCGUUAAAGUCGCUACUCUCCGACGCCGUCUCCCACUCCUCGUUGGCCUGGUCAGAAGAGUUCUGCGUGGAUAGGUCAGGUGACUUGGUGCCCACGGCAGAGGUGGUGGGAGGGGUGGCGUCAGGCAGGGCUGGGUCAGAGGUUAGGUCAGCGGCUUUGGGAUCCUUAUCUACAGGCAGGGUGAAGGGGGCCCCUGGAGCUCUUGAGAGAGUAGGGGACAGGGAGACAGGGCCAGGCACUAAGGCUGGGAUGGGGGCAGUGGAGGUGGGUCCAGGUCCUGUGUCUCCUCCAGCUAAGACUGCAGCCUCUCUCUCCUUCAGCUUCCGGAAGCGGGGGGGUUUGUCCUGUCUGGGGGGUCGGGCUGGCCGAGGGCGACGGGGCCUCUCUCUGUCUCUGCUACUCUGGGGUCCCCCCUCCCCAAACUUCUUCCCCUCGAACUGUCGGUCUCUGUCCCCUCGAACGGGCCGUCGGUCAGAGUGGUGGUCCCAGUUGUCAUAGCGUGAUGACGAGGGUUCUGUGUCCUCAGGGCGGAAGGUCUCCAUGGGUUUAGAGGGCCACUGGGAGGACGACUCUCUAGUUCCUGGGCGUCUGAGAGGAGCUGACCUAGGACCUCCUCUCUCCCUGGCUCCCCCUCGCCUGCUGUACAGUCCCCCUCUCCCACGCCGUGAAGGAUCUCCUCUGGGCAGGAAGCCUGGCUUGGGCCUUCCCUCAUCUCCUCCCCUGGGCCCUCCUUUCUCCCCCAGGUGAUGGGGUCCGAAGCCAGGUUUGUGUGGUCCGGAGCGGGGCUCUCCUGGUAUUUCCCUGCGGAGCGGUCGGGGUGGUUUGACACUGGGCUCACGGUCUGAAGCCCCAGUGUCGCUAGCGGACUCCCGUCCUCCUUCGCUCUCUGAGUCGGUAUCGGAACCACGACGCCGUCUGCGUUUGGGCAUCACUUCGAAGUCUGAGCUCUCGCUGCGCGUCUCGCUCUCUUCACGGCAGCGGAAGGCAGCAGCGCCACUGACGGCAGGAAAGUCUGAGCGUGAGCGCGGCUCCUGAUAAGGGUACUCCCAUCGACUACGACCCCGGCCACCUCUACUUCGACCAAUAUAAGUUCCCCGGAAACUCCGUCCUCGAGAGUAGUACUCCCCUCUGCCUCGACCUCUAAAACCAUCAGCCGGCCAUUCUCGCUCUCUGUCCCUUUCCAUCUCUCUCUCCCGGUCUCUUUCCCUCUCCUCACGGCGGUAGGUCCGUGGGGGCAGGUUGGGCUCCUUCAUAGAGGGUAAUUUAGGUUCAGAGUUUAGGUCAUUGGUUGGUAGUUGGUCUGUCUUGUCGUCCUGGGAGGCUGGUAUCGGGGCAUGUAUAUCUCUGGAUCUCUGGAGGCCCUUCCCAGGCCCCUCUGUCUCAGGGGCCUCACUCUUCCCAUCCCUCUCCCCUUGGGGUCUGUCCCUGUCCCUCUCCCCGUGGGGUCUGUCCCUCUCCCCGUGGGGUCUGUCCCUCUCCCUCUCCCCGUGGGGUCUGUCCCUGUCCCUCUCCCCGUGGGGUCUGUCCCUGUCCCUCUCUCCGUGGGGUCUGUCCCUCUCCCUCUCUCCGUGGGGUCUGUCCCUCUCCCUCUCUCCGUGGGGUCUGUCCCUCUCCCGCUCUCCGUGGGGUCUGUCCCUCUCCCG